rnacentral:lncRNA from 1 species
GUGAGCGGUCUGUGGCCCUGGGCACCUCCAUCCGCCGCGGCGCCCCUCCACCAUCUACCUUCCGCCUGACUGGGGCUUGCCUUUCCGGGCUGGCGGGUGAGCUCUCCGUUCAAGUUGCCUGUAGGGCUCGCCCCUCCCCUGGCCCUUGCAGGAACCCGCAGGCUUUGGCUGCUGCCUUUCUGCAUCUGCUUGCCCACCUUUUCUUCUCUGGGAAGUGGGGGUUUUGAGUUGGUUGCUUUUGCUUCUUCAGAAUUCCUUCUCCAAGAAAGUCUGGGUCUAUGUGUGUGACAGCCCACAGGAGGGCAAAUGUUUUGAGACUGCCCAUGGAGGUGAGGCCUGUGGUCGCCAUGGAGUCCACCAGGUGCCACUUCGGAUAAACCCUUUGGACUCCUAACUCCAAUCAGGUGUCUGCUUUGUUGAGGACUCACAGACACAGUCUCCUUUCUUCAAGAUCUUUACAAUGCAAGACCUCACUAACACACAGGGAUGGUCUCCCAGAGGGUCUGUGCUGUUCCUUCACUCAGAACAUCAAGAUGCACUGAAGUAAGGAUCCUCUAUUCUACAGUUCCUGCUAGCUGAGCUAUUCCAUGGGGGCUUCAGCAGGAAAUUCCAAGGUUGGCUUUGACAAGCUAAGGCCGGCUGGUGGAGCACAUCGAGUUCUGGAGGUUCAUGUGUGUUUUCAUGAAGAUCUGUCUGCCCGUAGCAGAUAAAGAGUUGUUGCCCCACUCCUCCUGGGGUCUUCUAUUUUCCUGGGAGGAAUUUCUGGAUUAACUGAACACACACACACACACACACACCCUUUUGAAGCAUCAACAGUAAUUCUGAGUUCUUAGGGACAAUGCAGAUUAAAUCCACAAUAAGAAAGACAACUAUGGCCAGGUGUGGUGGCUCACGCCUGUAAUCCCAGAACUUUGGGAGGCUGAGGCGGAUGGAUCACCUGAGGUCAGGAGUUAGAGACCAACCUGACCAACAUGGAGAAACCCCGUUUCUACUAAAAAUGCAAAAUUAGCCGGGCAUGGUGGCAGGCGCCUGUAAUCCCAAAUACUCGGGAGGCUGAGGCAGGAGAAUCACUUAAACCCGGGAGGCAGAGGUUGCAGUGAGCCAAGAUCGCGCCAUUGCACUCCAGCCUGGGCAAGAAGAGCAAAACUCCAUCUCAA